UCUUCUCCUCCACCUCCUCCAUGCUCCCAGCCUUCUCUCUCCUCCUUGUCUUCUCCUCCACCGCCUCCACCGUCAAAGAAAAGUCGAAAAGAAUGCAGGAAACACAGGACCCAGAAGGUGUUCCUCUAUGAGAGCAUUGUGGAAAGAAGAGUUUUUAAUCAAAGACAAGAAGUGAAAAUUCGCUGGACACCAUGCUCCGAGUGGUAAGUUUUUCCUUAAUGACCAUACAUGUAUGUGUUGUACUGGAAGCAAAGGGUUUAUACACUGAUACAGUAGGCUCAUCUCAAUUGAAUACUUUUGUAUUGUAUGUUGUUAUGUAAUUUGUCCUACAGAAGAGAGACACAAAUCACUAACAUAUGUAUUAGUUAUGCUACCCGUAUUUGUAUAUAUCCUAAAUGUUUGACGUGCUGUGGGUCUACCACACAUGCAUCACAAACCACAAGUA